rnacentral:rRNA from 1 species
CGCGUGUGUGAAGAAGGCCUUCGGGUUGUAAAGCACUUUCAGUCAGGAGGAAAGGUUAGUAGUUAAUACCUGCUAGCUGUGACGUUACUGACAGAAGAAGCACCGGCUAACUCCGUGCCAGCAGCCGCGGUAAUACGGAGGGUGCGAGCGUUAAUCGGAAUUACUGGGCGUAAAGCGUACGCAGGCGGUUUGUUAAGCGAGAUGUGAAAGCCCCGGGCUCAACCUGGGAACUGCAUUUCGAACUGGCAAACUAGAGUGUGAUAGAGGGUGGUAGAAUUUCAGGUGUAGCGGUGAAAUGCGUAGAGAUCUGAAGGAAUACCGAUGGCGAAGGCAGCCACCUGGGUCAACACUGACGCUCAUGUACGAAAGCGUGGGGAGCAAACAGGAUUAGAUACCCUGGUAGUCCACGCCGUAAACGAUGUCUACUAGAAGCUCGGAACCUCGGUUCUGUUUUUCAAAGCUAACGCAUUAAGUAGACCGCCUGGGGAGUACGGCCGCAAGGUUAAAACUCAAAUGAAUUGACGGGGGCCCGCACAAGCGGUGGAGCAUGUGGUUUAAUUCGAUGCAACGCGAAGAACCUUACCUACACUUGACAUACAGAGAACUUACCAGAGAUGGUUUGGUGCCUUCGGGAACUCUGAUACAGGUGCUGCAUGGCUGUCGUCAGCUCGUGUUGUGAGAUGUUGGGUUAAGUCCCGCAACGAGCGCAACCC